rnacentral:rRNA from 1 species
GAUGAACGCUGGCGGCGUGCCUAAUACAUGCAAGUCGAGCGAACGGACGAGAAGCUUGCUUCUCUGAUGUUAGCGGCGGACGGGUGAGUAACACGUGGAUAACCUACCUAUAAGACUGGGAUAACUUCGGGAAACCGGAGCUAAUACCGGAUAAUAUUUUGAACCGCAUGGUUCAAAAGUGAAAGACGGUCUUGCUGUCACUUAUAGAUGGAUCCGCGCUGCAUUAGCUAGUUGGUAAGGUAACGGCUUACCAAGGCAACGAUGCAUAGCCGACCUGAGAGGUGGACGGCCCACACUGAACCGGAGACCCGGCCCGGCCUCCACGGGAGGGAGCAAGUGGGAAUUCUCCCGAAAGGGGCAAAGGCCUGCCGGAGCAGCGCCGGGGGAGUAAUGAUGGUUUUGGACUGUAAAACCUUUUUUAUUGGGGAAAAACAUUUUUGAAAUAACCUGUGCACAUCUGGACGUAACCUAAUAAGAAACCCAGGCCAAACUCCGUC